rnacentral:lncRNA from 1 species
GACUGCACAGCGCAGACUGCUGCUCAAGAGCCAUCUGCUGAACAGAACAGAAGAUGCUCGAACCCUUGAAGAUGUUCUAGGCAGGAACUGUUGCACUCUCUCCAUGCCACCCAAUCCCCAGACAGUCUGCCUUCUCAGGGGCAAUUUCUGAAGCGGCUGCCCUCCUCAGCGGCCACACCCUAAAAACCAUGGUGCAAGGGAAACCUAGAAGACAGGACAGAGAGAGGCUCCUGCCAGAUCAAACGCCCAAACCCCUUGGCUCAGUCUGUGAGUGCCUUCCUCCACAGUCCACAUCCUCACUCCAGACACGGCUAUCUUGCUUCUUACCUCUCCCCCCUUCUGCAGUUUUCCUGGUGGAGCCAAAGAAAUAAACAUCAUGGAAGAGAACUCACCUGAAAGUCUACGAUCUUGUAAAUGAAACUGUUCUAAUUGCAAUUAUUCCCUCAUCUUGGUUUUGUUAUAUUAAAAGACUUUGCUCACGAUCCCUGAAGAGGGGUCCAGGAAUUGACUCGUUUGCAUAAACAUAAUCUUUUUCUCUUUCUGUAGGCAUACAAGUGCCUUGCUCACCCCUUCUGGUGGGAGAGCUUGCCCUGGAUGUGUAAUGGAAUAAACAAGCAGCUCUGUACCUGUCAGACCAGGUCACCAGUAUCCAGUACAGUGAAUCUGCUGUGGAAUCUCUACUAAGGGUGUUUAUAUGGCAUCCCUAGGUGGUCCAUCAGCUUCCCGAGACAAGCUCUUCUCAGAGUGCCAAAUACAGGGCACUGGAGCCAGAACGAUGGCUGCUUCCGGAGUGACCACCACCAAGGGCAGAGAUCUAACCCACAGCCUUGACCUCUUGUCCUCAGCCUGUUUCCCAGAUCCUGCUCUGCCUUUUCUGGGACCAGGACUCUCCUUCCCUGGUCAAUUAGCAGCACCAGGUUGCAGCAGUGGGGAGAUGUCCCAUGGGGUGGAGUGCUGCUCAUUGUCUUCCCAAAUCUAUUCUCUCCUUCUCCAUGUAAGAGAAUUUUAUUGGGCAAAUGGCCAUCCUGCCGGAGGUGUUUUCCAGCCUCCCUGGAAGAUAGAUGUGGCCGCGUAAUUGAGUUUUCA